rnacentral:rRNA from 1 species
GACGAACGCUGGCGGCGUGCCUAAUACAUGCAAGUCGAACGCAGUGGGGACGGGUGAGUAACACGUGGGUAACCUCCCAUCAGAGGGGAUAACACUUGGAAACAGGUGCUAAACCGCUACUGAUGGAUGGACCCGCGGUGCAUUAGCUAGUUGGGUAGGUAAAGGCUCACCAAGGACACGAUGCAUAGCCGACCUGCGGGGGGGAUCGGCCACACUGGGACUGAGAAACGGCCCAGACUCCUAAGGUAGGCAGCAGUAGGGAAUCUUCGGAAAUGGACGAAAGUCUGACCGAGCAACGCCGCGUGAGUGAAGAAGGUUUUCGGAGCGUAAAACUCUGUCGUUAGAGAAGCGGUAUCUAACCAGAAAGCCACGGCGAACUACGUGCCAGCAGCCGCGGUAAUUC